AUAAAAGGUCUGACCUGCCCAGUGAUAAUUUUAACGGCCGCGGUAUACUGACCGUGCAAAGGUAGCAUAAUCAUUAGUCUUUUAAUAGAGGGCUGGAAUGAAAGGUUUAACGAGGAAUUGACUGUCUCAUUUUAUUUGUUUUAGAAUUUAAUUUUUUAGUCAAAAAGCUAAAAUCUUAUUGGAAGACGAGAAGACCCUAUAGAUCUUUAUAAAAUGUUAUUUAAUUAUUUUUAUAUUAAUUUAUUUAGAUAAUUUUUUAUUUUGUUGGGGUGACAAAAAUAUAUAUAAAACUUUUUUAUUUAUUUAACAUUAAUUUAUGAUUAUUAGAUCCACUAUUAGUGAUUGAUAGACUAAGUUACCUUAGGGAUAACAGCGUAAUCCUCCUCCAGAGUUCAUAUUUACAGGAUGGGCUUGCGACCUCGAUGUUGGAUUAAGAUGAUAAUUAGGUGUAGCCGCUUAAUUUAUAGGUCUGUUCGACCUUUAAACUCUU
rnacentral:rRNA from 1 species